rnacentral:rRNA from 1 species
AGUCUGGUGCCAGCAGCCGCGGUAAUUCCAGCUCCAAUAGCGUAUAUUAAAGUUGUUGCAGUUAAAAAGCUCGUAGUUGGAUCUGGGGUUCGGGUCGGCGGUUUGCCGCUUCGGCGGCUACUGCCGUGCUCGACUCUUACUAGCCGGUGCGUCUUGCGGUGCUCUUCAUCGAGUGCCGUAGGAGCCUGGCAUGUUUACUUUGAAAAAAUUAGAGUGCUCAAAGCAGGCGAUUCCGCCUGAAUAGUGUUGCAUGGAAUAAUGGAAUAGGACCUCGGUUCUAUUUUGUUGGUUUUCGGAACUUGAGGUAAUGAUUAAGAGGGACGGUCGGGGGCAUCCGUAUUUCGGUGUUAGAGGUGAAAUUCUUGGAUCGCUGAAAGACGGACAAAUGCGAAAGCAUCUGCCAAGAACGUCUCCAUUAAUCAAGAACGAAAGUCAGAGGUUCGAAGACGAUCAGACACCGUCCUAGUUCUGACCAUAAACGAUGCCAACUAGCGAUCCGCAGUGGUUGCUAUAAACGGACUCUGCGAGCAGCUUCCGGGAAACCAAAGUGUUUGGGUUCCGGGGGAAGUAUGGUUGCAAAGCUGAAACUUAAAGGAAUUGACGGAAGGGCACCACCAGGAGUGGAGCCUGCGGCUUAAUUUGACACAACACGGGGAAACUCACCCGGUCCGGACACUGUAAGGAUUGACAGAUCGAGAGCUCUUUCUUGAUUCGGUGGAUGGUGGUGCAUGGCCGUUCUUAGUUGGUGGAGUGAUUUGUCUGGUUAAUUCCGAUAACGAACGAGGCUCUAGCCUGCUAACUAGUUGCGCCGUGUUCAUACGCGGCUGUAGACUUCUUAGAGGGACAGGUGGCGUUUAGCCACACGAAAUUGAGCAAUAACAGGUCUGUGAUGCCCUUAGAUGUCCGGGGCCGCACGCGCGCUACACUGAAGGAGUCAGCGUGUGCUAUCCGGGCUCGGAAGAGUUCGGUAACCCGUUGAAACUCCUUCGUGCUUGGGAUUGUGGCUUGUAAUUAUCGCGCAUGAACGAGGAAUUCCCAGUAAGUGCAAGUCAUCAGCUUGCGCUGACUACGUCCCUGCCCUUUGUACACACCGCCCGUCGCUACUACCGAUUGAAUGGUUUAGCAAGGUACUCGGAUUGGUCUCGAUCUUGUACGAAAGUGCGGGAUCUGUGGCCGAGGAGAAGGCCAAACUUGAUCAUUUAGAGGAAGUAAA